CCCUGUUAUACUGGAUUUGAAAUAUAUUGCUUGAUUAGUAUUAGUUAUGGUCUUGAAAUUUAAAGGAUUUGGCGGUAUCCAAGUCUAGUUAGAGGAACCUGCCAUUUAAACGAUAUACCACGAAUUAUCUUACUUUAUCUUGUUAUCAGUAUGUAUACCUCCAUUAUUAGGUGGUGUAUUAAUAUAUCCAUUGAAAUUAAUUUAUGUUAAGUAUAUUAGGUCAAGGUGCAGCCAAUGGUAAAGUCAUAGGUGGGUUACAAUGUAUUAUAUUUAUAGACGAAUGGUUUCUUGAAAAUGAAACUUGAAGGUGGAUUUAAUUGUAUUUUUAUUUUAAUAUGUUAAAUUGAUACUAGCUCUAGGGUAUGUACACAUCGCCC
rnacentral:rRNA from 1 species